UAACACACAGGCCUGUAACAGUGGGCCUCUAUAAAAAAGAUAACCGCUAGUCCAGCACUUUACCUCCGUAGGGGAAGCCCCCAACUAUCGGGCGGAGGAGGCACUCAGAUGCCGUGUGCGGGCAACACCACCUGGAACAGGGAACGCCUACGGGCCGAUCCUGUGGCGAGCCUGGGUAGCUCCAGGCCGUCGCAACGCGCGCUAAGGGGUGGGCUGGUCUCCCUUCGGGGGCCGGCUUAAGGUACGUGCUAAUCCCACGGGAAACCGUGCUCCCUCAUGGAGGCCCGAUAGGCCAAAGUGUUGGAGGGUGCCGCUGGGAGCUUCAGGGCUCUCGGCUGCGCUGGUGCUUCGCUGCAGCGUCCGCUGCAGGGCGGGACAACCCCCUCGGGGGACGUGGACCGCCCGCGGACGCUGAGCCACGGCGAGGCUUAAUUG
rnacentral:misc_RNA from 1 species